CACGUAGGGCGCAAGCGUUGUCCGGAAUUAUUGGGCGUAAAGAGCUCGUAGGUGGUUUGCUGCGUCCGCUGUGAAAACCCAAGGCUUAACCUUGGGCUUGCAGUGGAUACGGGCAGACUAGAGGUAGGUAGGGGAGAAUGGAAUUCCCGGUGUAGCGGUGAAAUGCGCAGAUAUCGGGAGGAACACCGGUGGCGAAGGCGGUUCUCUGGGCCAAAACUGACGCUGAGGAGCGAAAGCGUGGGGAGCGAACAGG
rnacentral:rRNA from 1 species